CUUGGUGAUUUUAAGCGUUUUGGAACCACCUCUUCUCAUUCCGAACAGAGUCGUGAAACAAAAUAGCGCCGACGAUACUAUCGCCCAACUCGGUGAUGGGAAACUAGGUCAUUGCCAGGG
rnacentral:rRNA from 1 species